AAUAUUCUUUUCAAGCUAAGGGGAACUGGUUUUUCUUUUUCACAAGUUUCCUUCUUCAUUUUGUGUGUGUGUGAGGGGAGCGUUGGAUAUAUUUUUUUUAAUGUUUAUUUAUUUUUGAGAAAGAGAGAAAGAGUUCAAGCAAGGAAGGGGCAGAGAGAGAGAGAGAGAGAGAGAGAGAGAGAGAAAGAGAGAGAAAUCCCAAGCAGUCUCUGCAUGCACUCCGUUAGUGCAGUCAGACACAGGGCUCAAACUCACUAACUGUGAGAUCAUGACCUGAGCUGAAAUCAAGAGUCAGAUGAUUAACUGGCUGAGCCACCCAGGAGCCCCUGGGUAAUUUUUUUAUACUACCUGUUUUUCUUUAAAAUGACACUUAUCUCCAUUUUGUCGAAUUAUGAAGUGUCUGUUUGGUACUUUGUAUAGAGCUACUUGAAAUCUAAAAAUCAAUUUUGGAAAGAUUAAUUCUUUUUUUUUUUUUACAAUAUUGCACUCUCCUUCUUUUCCCCACCUCUUCCACAGGAAGGAACAUAGUAUGCUUCUCAAUUUAUAUGCUUAAAAAGUAAGUGGGUGCCUGAGUGGCUCUGUCGGUUGAUCAGCUAGCUCUUGAUUUUGGCUCAGGUCAUGGGAUCAAGCUCCACAUCAGGCUCUGCACUGAAUGUGGAGCCUACUUGGAAUUCUCUCUCUCUUUCCUUCUGCCCUUCUUCCCUGCUUGCUCACUCUGCAUCUAAAAUAUGAUUAAAAGAUUAUAAAAAGUAUCACUAAGUCAUUUUGUUGUUUGUUAAGGCCCGAAUCUUCCUCCCGAAGCUUAUUUCUACAUAUUUUAUACUCAUAUCAAUAUUAAAUACUAAUAUCUAAUAACAGUUGAGUAGUUACUGUGCACCAGGUAGUGUUUCAAACCCAUUACCUGUGCUAUUUCAUUUAUUCUUCCAAAAUGCCUUAUGAUGAGGUAUUAUUGUUAUUCCUUUUUUACAUAUAAAGAAACUGAAGUCUCUACAGGUCUAAUAAUUUGGUGAUAUUUAUACAAUGUCUCCUCUUAUUUCGUAUACCAGGAAAUCUCAAAUUUUAGAGAACAAAAGAACUACCUGGGAGUCUGUUUAAAAUUGUUUAUAAUUUCAGUUUAAUUGGUCUAUAUACCCAGAUUUUGAGUUAGGAAGUCUUGGAUGGGUCUUAGGAAUCUGUACCCCCCUCCCCCCUCCAUUCUCCUCCAUUCUGGUGUAGGUGAUGUGUGGUCUACACCUUGAGAAGCACCGCACUGAGUUAUGAAGGAUAUGAUUGGGAUUUUUUUCCGUUCUAUUUUCUUACUAGCUAUUUUGCUAGAAUAUUAAUAGGUAACCAAUUGAUGUCUGUGUAUUUACUUUAUAUUUUGCCACCAUCUAAAUCCUUAUAUUAGACAAAAAAGUUUUCACUUCUUCCUUUUGGUAUAAUGAGACACCUCACACAGUGCCUGUAAAAGAACUAAAUAAAUGAAUACAUCUCCUGAAAAUAUUGUAAAUU
rnacentral:lncRNA from 1 species